GACGAACGCGGCGGCGUGCUUAACACAUGCAAGUCGAACGAAGAGCGAUGGAAGCUUGCUUCUAUCAAUCUUAGUGGCGAACGGGUGAGUAACGCGUAAUCAACCUGCCCUUCAGAGGGGGACAACAGUUGGAAACGACUGCUAAUACCGCAUACGAUCUAAUCUCGGCAUCGAGGAUAGAUGAAAGGUGGCCUCUACAUGUAAGCUAUCACUGAAGGAGGGGAUUGCGUCUGAUUAGCUAGUCGGAGGGGUAACGGCCCACCAAGGCGAUGAUCAGUAGCCGGUCUGAGAGGAUGAACGGCCACAUUGGGACUGAGACACGGCCCAGACUCCUACGGGAGGCAGCAGUGGGGAAUCUUCCGCAAUGGACGAAAGUCUGACGGAGCAACGCCGCGUGAGUGAUGACGGCCUUCGGGUUGUAAAGCUCUGUUAAUCGGGACGAAAGGCCUUCUUGCGAAUAGUGAGAAGGA
rnacentral:rRNA from 1 species